rnacentral:misc_RNA from 1 species
CUUAGCUUUGCUCUUGGGAGAGACACAGAUGGAUCACAAUGAUGGGAGAGAAAAUAGGAGAAAUUAUAUGAUAAAAUUGUGAUUCUAUAUGGAACUACUUUAUACUAUAUAAAUAUGUAAUGUAUUAUGACUAGCCCCCUAAAGAAAAUUUCUUGGCUCUGCUUCUAGGAGAGACAUAGAUGGAUCACGAUGAUGAGAGGGAAAAUAG